rnacentral:tRNA from 1 species
GCCUUAUAGUCAAUGAUGAUUUUAAAUUGCAAAUUUAAAGGUGAGGUACCUCUAAGGCUUA